AAAUUGGCUUAGUCUCAGAUCUGUUUAAUUUUGUUUUAUACAGAAAAGGUGUUUGAUUUAGUUUCGUUUAUUCAUUUAUUUAUUGGUAGUUCUUAUGUCUCAGGAUCUGCCUCUUUUUUUCCAUUUUUUUGCACAAAAUAACAUACCCAAAUCUAGCUGCCUGUAGCUCAGGCCCUGAAGCAUUUUUUUGUAUUUUUUUGUACCAUCAUCUUUGAAAUGCAAGAGAAAGUCCAUAAUGUAUUGUUCUAGCCCAGCUGCAAUUUAGAUUAAUAUACCAUAGAAGAAGAAGUAGAAGUUCACCUCCAACGUCCAAAAGCAGAAGACUUGUCACAGGCUCUCUUUCCAUUCCUGUAAAUCCACCAUGGCUACUCCCGCCUCCAGUAGUUGAUCCAGAAGUGUUGGAGAGACUACAGAAAGAUACGGAGGGUGUUGAUCCAUCUGAUUGGUUUAAGAGACGUCUGGAUACUGUGUAUCAGGAUUUUAUGGCCUUUUACACAGAUGGUUUAAAAGAUCCAAGGACAAGAUGCACUGGGUCUGGGUCAUUGAGACGUGUUGAGGACAGGAAAGGCAGAGGGUCUCUCCAACCUGCUACUGGUCACUGGGGGCAGUGUGGAGCUGAUGGAUGGUGACAGUCUCAACCCACUGUGGAGGGUCAACAGCAGCACAAUCCUCAGUAAGCCUUCAUUUGGCCACUUAAACAAAGAUGGGACACCAGACAUAGUGAUUGAGGAGGACAUUGGUAACAGCAUUAAAGGGGUAGUGAUCCUGGAUGGAAACACAGGGGUUCACAUUGUGGGAGGUCAACCUACAGGCCUGUCCCAACUCACCCACACCGUCAACUCUUU